rnacentral:rRNA from 1 species
CCUACGGGAGGCUGCAGUAGGGAAUUUUCGUCAAUGGGCGCAAGCCUGAACGAGCAAUGCCGCGUGAACGAGGAAGGUCUUCGGAUCGUAAAGUUCUGUUGAAGGGGAAAAAGAGCGGAGAGAGGAAAUGGUCUCCGAUUGAUAUUACCCUUCGAGGAAGUCACGGCUAACUACUUGCCAGCAGCCGCGGUAAUACGUGGGUGGCGAUCGUUAUCCGGAAUGAUUGGGCGAAAAGGGUGCGUAGGCGGCCUGCUAAGUCUGGAGUGAAGGGUACGGGCUCAACCGGUACAGGCUCUGGAAACUGGCGGGCUAGAGAGCAGGAGAGGGCGGUGGAACUCCAUGUGUAGCGGUAAAAUGCGUAGAUAUAUGGAAGAACACCAGUGGCGAAGGCGGCCGCCUGGCCUGUUACUGACGCUGAGGCACGAAAGCGUGGGGAGCAAAUAGGAUUAGAUACCCUUGUAGUC